ACGACGCUGGCGGCGUGCCUAACACAUGCAAGUCGAACGGAGAUAUGAUUUCGGUUGUAUCUUAGUGGCGAACGGGUGAGUAACGCGUGAGCAACCUGACUCUUAGAGGGGGAUAACACUCGGAAACGGGUGCUAAUACCGCAUAAGACCACGACAUGGCAUCAUGACGAGGUCAAAGGAGCAAUCCGCUGAGAGAGGGGCUCGCGUCCCAUUAGAUAGAUGGCGGGGUAACGGCCCACCAUGUCGACGAUGGGUAGCCGAGCUGAGAGGCUGAUCGGCCACACUGGAACUGAGACACGGUCCAGACUCCUACGGGAGGCAGCAGUGGGGAAUCUUGCGCAAUGGGCGAAAGCCUGACGCAGCCAUGCCGCGUGAAUGAUGAAGGUCUUAGGAUUGUAAAGCUCUUUCGGCCGGGAAAAAAUCGCAUCAGUUAAUACCUGGUGUGGAUGAUGGUACCGGAAUAAGAAGCACCGGCUAACUACGUG
rnacentral:rRNA from 1 species